GUUUACAUUUAUACCACCCUGAACACACCUGACCUUGUCUGACCUAGGAAGCUAAGCAGGGUUGGGCCUUGUUAAUCCUUGAACAAGAGAUAUGUGUUACAAACA
ensembl:rRNA 5S_rRNA 5S ribosomal RNA